AUCGCCUCCUGAUUAAACAUAGGAGGUCCAGCCUGCCCAGUGACAAAGUUCAACGGCCGCGGUACCCUAACCGUGCGAAGGUAGCAUAAUCACUUGUUCUUUAAAUGAGGACUAGUAUCAACGGCACCACGAGGACUAUACUGUCUCCCCUCUCCAAUCAGUGAAACUGAUCUCCCCGUGAAGAAGCGGGGAUAAACCUAUAAGACGAGAAGACCCUAUGGAGCUUUAAACCCGAUAUCCACCUCCGCAUAAUUAAACCAACUUAGCUAUAAAGAUAUGUUUACCGGUUUUAGGUUGGGGGGACCGCGGAGUAAAACUAAACCUCCACGACAAAUGGGCUACGCCCUAAUCCAUGAACCACAAUUCUAAGAGCCAACAAAUUGUUGUCCAAUGACCCAAUUACUUGAUCAACGAACUAAGUUACCCUAGGGAUAACAGCGCAAUCUACUUUGAGAGCCCCUAUCGACAAGUAGGUUUACGACCUCGAUGUUGGAUCAGGGUGUCCCAGUGGCGCAGCCGCUACUAAAGG
rnacentral:rRNA from 1 species